GUGUGUGUGUGCUUGUGUCUAUGUGUGUGUCUAUGUGUGUGUGCACGCGCAUACCCAUGUCUAUGUGCGUGUGUAAGCUGGUGGUUAACUUCAGUCCCAUUUCUCAAGUCCCUUGUUUUGUUUUGAGAUAUGGUCUCGAAUCAGCCUGGAACCUGACAAAUAGAUUGGGCUCGCUAGCCAGCAAACCCCAAGGUUCUGCCUGCCUGUGAGGCCUCCCCAGCACUGGUAUUACAAGCUAGCACUACCACUCCCAAAGAUUUCAUGUGGAUUCUAAGGGAUUGAACUGGGGUCUCCAGGCUUGUAAGAGAAUAACUUUAUCAACCAAACUGUCACCCCAGUCAAGGACUCCAGGUUUUAAAAUGGAGUUAAAGGGACUCUUAAGUGUUAUGAAGACUAGGAAAAAAAAGAACUCGGGGAGGCAGUUGGGGACCCAGAAAUCCUCUACGGCAUUACAUUCUGCACCUAAAGCACAGUUACCAAGCUAGAAUAUGAGUAAUACUCCCUACUACACAUGCAAGCAAGCCUGUGUUACAAAAGAGCAUUUAAGUGUCAAACCUUCAUCUCAUUUUUUUGGUAGUCUUCUUUGUAAGAUGUUGUGCACAUCUGAAGGGGGAAAGCACAGUCCAAGAAAACCGGGGGUGGUUAAGAUCCAAGAAUAAAGUUAUUGUCAUUGAGCACAAAUGGGUGGUUCUUUGGAACAAGCUUUCCUUCACUGUAUAAUAAUUCAUUAUUCACUAAGGGUAGAGUAGAACGUUGCUGUUCUGGAAUGCAUUGCAUAGAUGACUCCAAGAGUUGGUGUCCGCAUGCUUCUAGCCAUAAACGGUUGCAGAUGGGUUCUUAGAGUUCUGGAGACUGCAUGCCGAAGAGAAAUGACUUGCCUCGUCUUUCAUUCUUUGUAUAGUUGCAGGAGUUUGAAACUCACUAGUGCUUGGCUCUCCUACAGCAGACUUUGACCUAAAGGCCUGUGUAUUUGUAUCAUACCGGAAUCUUGACUCGAUCCAAACAGAAGGGUGAACUUAGUACAUGGUUCUUCAAAUCAUGCAUCACUUUUGCAAAUAGCUGACAUGAGUCCACGCUCCUACAACAGAGAUGCCAAAGAUUGAUAUAAUUGAACAAAAGACAUCUAGAAACAAAUCCAGACAUAGCUGACAGCGGAUUUCAAAGGGAUCCAGAGUUGACCUUGUGCAGGUUGCUGAGAAGACAACAUCCUUAAGCUCUGGGAGGAGGUAACUGAUAGGUCAGUAAUCUUCAAAUGCUUGUCCUCAGCCUCUCCCAACAAUAAAAACGCUGCUCCACCUUCCCUCCUGUUCUAGUCCUUUAGUCUGUGAAGUACGGCAGCACAAGCAAAGGACCUGAGUUCGGAUCUCCAGAACCCCCAUGGAGCUAGGUGCUGGGCAUGGUGGGGUGGAUCAGCAGGUAAAGGUACUUGCUACAGAGUUGGACCUGACUUUUAUCUCCAGGACUCACAUGGUAGCAGGAGAGAAUCUACUCCUGCAAGUUGUUCUGACUUCCGUUCACAAGCUGUGGCAUGCACUUACACACACACACACAGAGAAGGAAUGAAUGGGUGAAUAAAAAAAAUGAAUAAUGCAAUUUUUUUAAAAAGGGUCAUAGUAGUGCAUACCUGUAAUCCCAACUCUCCUUGGCAAGACAAAGGUGGAGAUGGGAAAAUUCCCAGAAGCUUGUUGGCUUACCCUGGCAUACAUAGCAGUAAACAACAAGAGGCUUGCCUCAAACAAGUUAAGAAAUGACAUCUUGAAUGCACUCAUACAUACAUAUACAUAGUCACAUACAAACACCAUACACACACACACGUACACACACAUUUGGUCAUUCUUCUGCCUCUCCUCCAUGAUGGAAUGGCUUCUAACUCACUGGCCUACCUCUCACACUAUCUUACUCUGUCUGGCCCUCCUCUUCUUUCCCCAGCUCACACACUUGUCCCAGAUCUCCUUGUGUCCCUUUCCUGACUAAAAGUUUGGGAGGUUCCGCUGCUUGUAGAGAAAAAUCCAAGAGUGUAGGCAUAACACAUCAGACCCUCCAUCAAAGCCAGCUCACACUCCCUCCCACCUCUAGUUCCCUGCCCCAUGCACCCCUGCCCGACUUCAGCCACAGUCUGCCACCCAUUUACUUCUGCGUGCCUCCCAGGAUACAAACCCUCCUCUGUCUCAGCCUGCUUCGUUUCUAUUCCUCGUUCAGGAGUCCCCUCGGGCAUCUUUCUCAAACCUCUCCCCAGUCCCACCCAGAACGCCCAGUGUCUCUACUUUAGUGUGCAUAUUUUAAGUAUUCCGUGUUUUACCAUCUCUUCUCAGCCCCUACAGCUCCCAGAGUGUAAGAGCCAGCUCUUCAGUAUCCAUGCUCGCACCUCUGCAUAUCCAAUCUGCCUUGCUGUAAACAACACUCCUCAAGGAAGCUGUGAGGUGGCACAAUGGGUGCUUAAGGUAGCUGCUGGAUGGAGUACUGGGCCUUCUACUACUGCAGCUCAAGUCAGAGAAGCAGAGGCCAGCAGCUUUGAGCACAAAUAUGUCAGUGGCAGGCCCUUAUGUCUGUAUAGCCCGGACACUUCAGAGUCAGAGAACACUCAACGACCCUGACCCGGCCUUUCAAACAGGCCUCAGAAGGUCACUGCUGUUCAUUCUCCACUGAUGUGAGCAAAAGAUGUCACACUCGGCUUGGGAUUGCUGCUACCUUAGCAAAACCUAAGUAUAUAAGUAACAAUAACAUUAUCAAAUGUUUAUUUUAUGUCAACUACUGAACUAGAGCUUUGUGUUUCUCAUUUAUUCUUCUUAAACAUUCUGUAGGCGUACACCACCACUGGCAUUUGGAUUUGCCAGACUGCCUUCCCAGGCCCAGCCAUCGCCUGUGUUUCCUGGGAUACCUCACAGGAUCUGAACUAUGAAAGUCAUCUCUGGGCCUACUUCUGCAGAACCUAACACAGACAAUGAGUUUCAAGGACGAAAGAUCGAGCCCUGCCAGUACCCCAUUCUGGGGCCCACAUUCUCCUCCGCUUCCCAAACUAUGACCUUACCAAGAAGUGCCUGCUGCAGAAAAGACAGUCACCCUCCCUUCUGUACCCAAAAGUGUGCACCCCACCGAGGUCUCUCCACUUCCUUCCUUUAAUGGUUGCAAGCAUGCUUUCAUGCUGUUAUUCCAGGGUCGGGGGUGCCCAUCUUGCUCUAAAUUUUCCACUUAAAAUUAAACACAUGAAAACUUUUUCUGCUUCAAAACUUUCAUAUUUCAUCCGUCUGUUUCCUAACCCUGUGUCAUUACAAAAGUAGAGAAUUCUGACCAUAGUGCUGUAAGCCAUUGGCUUUUAAUCUUACUUUAAUAAACAAAAAUCUUGGAACCAUUUCUACGGUCAAAGCAGCAUCUACAUACACAAAACGUUGAAUUGGCAAACGUGGAUCUUCACUAAUCUUAUCAGUUUGGAAAUGUACAGGGUAAUUACCUUAAUAAGAUCAGGACACUAGGAACAUCUACUCUGCGCUCGAUAAUAAAACACAUUAAUAUUCUCUUCCAGAGUGUUUCAAGACUUUUAACCCAUCUCUAAAAGUGUUUACCUCUGCUCCAGCUGCUUCUCUGUCACCUUCUAUGUCAGACACAGACAAAAGCCCAAGGCAUUGUACAUUAAUUACAUUCAGCAAACAUUACCCAAGGGUCAACAAAUGACUGAAUCCUUUCUCCAGAUAGAUUUCUCUUCCUGCAAGGAUGAGGUUCCAAAAAGCCAAACCAGCUAUCUAAGAGAUUCCACUUAAGCCUGUAGCUCCCGGGAGAUAGCAGAUGCGUGUUCAUCGACAUGACAACCCAAAAGGCUACAAGGAUGUAAGUAGGACGGCCUCAGAGACGGGAGCUUCUCAGAUGGCCCAAAGGACUGCUAUGUAAAAUAAAUAAGGAAAACAAAGUAGUAAUGUUUGCCAUUCACUUUCAUUAAGACACCAACAUACACACACACACACACACACACACACACACACACACACACACACAAAACUACCAUCAGCAACUAUAACAA
rnacentral:sRNA from 1 species